CAGCCCCCCUCUCCUUCAAACUCUCGCACAGCUAUUCACACCUCUCGCCUUUUCGUUUUCCUCUUCUCCUCAACCAGUUGUCGGCAGUCAUAGCCCCACGCCUCUAUUCGUCGUUAUCGUUCGUCUCUACCAAGCGUCGGCGGCCGCCUCUCAUUUUCUUCUUCCCGUCACAUCUCCACCUCUUCCGUCAAACCCAUCUCGUUUCCUCUCGUUUGAAGCCCAGUCGUCGCACCACGAUCGUCCACCGCGAAUCCAGCCGAGCUGCGCUUGCUUCUCCUUCCAUCUGCCGACGUUUGGCUCAAUUUGUGUUCUGUCGCUUCUUGCCUCAUUUUAGGUUUCGAGGUUUGAAGUCAUUUCUUGGAACUACGACAACAUUGUUUAGAGUUUUAUUCUCCUUUUUGCUUGGGUUGGUUCGUUGGAUUCUAGUUGAUUAAGGAACGUAGCUAAAUCGAGGUAAGGGUUCCUACUACUAGACUCAAAUUUGUGACCGGAAUGCAAUACAUGCUACGAAUGUAUAAUUCAGAGAUCUCAGUGAAUUGUUGUUUUAUAUGCUCUUAUAAAAGUAGUAUUGGAAUUUUUUUUUCUCUUCAAUGGUUUUGGAUGACACAUUCACUAAGAGUAGUUUUGAUUGACAUUGAUCGGUCAUGCUAUUGGUUAUUAGUGAGGGUGAGAAAUUGGUUGUUAUCUGUAACUUGGGUUAUUAUUGGUUUGUGUUGUUGUUGGUUUAGUAUUAGCUAGACGUUCUGUGUAACCUAUGCAUACUGUUGGAUCGUAUUGUUGAGGGACUAUAGAUUUGGGGCUAUCAAGCAUAGGUUGUAUAUUUUUAUUAUAUCUUGAGUUUAAAUGGAUUU